UGGGGAAUAUUGGACAAUGGGCGCAAGCCUGAUCCAGCCAUACCGCGUGGGUGAAGAAGGCCUUCGGGUUGUAAAGCCCUUUUGUUGGGAAAGAAAUCCAGCCGGCUAAUACCUGGUUGGGAUGACGGUACCCAAAGAAUAAGCACCGGCUAACUUCGUGCCAGCAGCCGCGGUAAUACGAAGGGUGCAAGCGUUACUCGGAAUUACUGGGCGUAAAGCGUGCGUAGGUGGUCGUUUAAGUCCGUUGUGAAAGCCCUGGGCUCAACCUGGGAACUGCAGUGGAUACUGGACGACUAGAGUGUGGUAGAGGGUAGCGGAAUUCCUGGUGUAGCAGUGAAAUGCGUAGAGAUCAGGAGGAACAUCCAUGGCGAAGGCAGCUACCUGGACCAACACUGACACUGAGGCACGAAAGCGUGGGGAGCAAACAGG
rnacentral:rRNA from 1 species